rnacentral:lncRNA from 1 species
CCACCUCUUCCAGUACCAGAUGUCUGCUGAGGGGGUUCCCAUUGACAUCUAGGCCCGGAAAUCGUAGAAUUCCACAAAUCCUAUUCCUAGUUCUUCCUUUGCAGUGAAAAUGCAAUCCUCAACUGUCUCCUCUUUUGGGGAGAAGAUAGGGUAUAAAUAACUGUAAUGAAUAAAUGGAUGAACACAAGUCUGUGUUUUUAAUAUUUUACAAUAUAAACAAAAUACUGUAACACUGAUUUUUGCAGGUUGUGAAUCCUGUAAAAUCUCCUGCUGCUGUGACCAUCGGUGUGAGCACAGUUGCCAUAGUGCUGCUAUUGAUAACUAUUGCUGGAUUGUCCUAUUUCUACCUCAAAAGAACAAACCAAAGAUUCCAGUUUCGCUAUUUCAAGGCUGAACUAGAGGAUGAAGAGCCUUCUUCCUGGGAAGAAAGGAGCCCAAACUUGGUCUCUAUUCCAAACCCCAUUUACGGAGCAGACAGCUCCAUCUAUGACCCAUUUGAGGUGAGACUUUGGAUCUUCUUCUUGAGAGAAAUAUAUUUGCAAAGUGUAGCUGAGUUCCAUUAAAACUUAGGAAAGCAGGGAUUUUUCAAAUAUCAGUUAUGUACCUUUUGUUAUCUAUUUGGAAUUACAACUGGUUCCUGCACAAAUCUCUUUCUUUCUUGAAUCCACUCAGUUUAUUAGACACCUUGUCUGCCAGGCAACCCCCAAAUAAGCUGGCCUGAAACAUGCAUUACCAUUUACUUUCUUUCCAACUAAAAAACUGAAACAUUUGCUCAGUAACUUCAUAAUAACAAUAAUCAUGUGCUGCCAAGCCAAUUCUGACUUAUGUGACCCUUUUCAGAGCAAAGGUAAAAAAGUAAGGGCAGAAACAAGCAUUAGUAAAUAUUCCAAGUUGCUGCAAUUUAAAUUUAACAAAUGGUUACUAAGCAGAUAAACAAAAGGCAACGUUUUUAUCCCUUCAAGUUAUUACACUGAAAACAGAACAAGCAAAUGAGCACUUUUCCAUUAAUCUUACAAAUCACAAACUGACAUGAAAAAGAAUUAAGCUUCCUGACACAGGAUAAUCAGAUGGCCUUCAGUAGAACAGUUAAAAUGGUUCAGUUAAUCCUAUUUGGGCCCUCAAAACUGAUUGCAUUGGUGAUCCAUAUAAACAUAAGGCUUAAAUGAUUCUUACUAAUAAACCUGUACCCGUAUAUGUCCA